rnacentral:lncRNA from 1 species
AGACUAGAUCGAUAGGGCUGCACAGAGGUGGCACAGUUGUGCCAGAGGGCCAGACUUUGGCAGCGUGUAAGGUCUGAGGACAGGGGCACCGGAGGCCGAGGAUGAGAGGCCAGUGCCUGUUUCCAGGCAGCCAGGGCCUCAGAAACUCCGGCCGGAGCACUCACCCGUCGGUGGAGGCCGUUACCAGGGCCACCUUAUUUGCGAGCGGGUCCCGGCGGGUCAUCCCGGAGCUGGCCAUCCGCACCGAAUUCCAAGCCCGGGCACAGAGGCCUAGCAGCCCCGCCUUGUGCAUGGAUCAGACCAGCAAGUGCCACUUCGGAUAAACCCUUUGGACUCCUAACUCCAAUCAGGUGUCUGCUUUGUUGAGGACUCACAGACACAGUCUCCUUUCUUCAAGAUCUUUACAAUGCAAGACCUCACUAACACACAGGGAUGGUCUCCCAGAGGGUCUGUGCUGUUCCUUCACUCAGAACAUCAAGAUGCACUGAAGUAAGGAUCCUCUAUUCUACAGUUCCUGCUAGCUGAGCUAUUCCAUGGGGGCUUCAGCAGGAAAUUCCAAGGUUGGCUUUGACAAGCUAAGGCCGGCUGGUGGAGCACAUCGAGUUCUGGAGGUUCAUGUGUGUUUUCAUGAAGAUCUGUCUGCCCGUAGCAGAUAAAGAGUUGUUGCCCCACUCCUCCUGGGGUCUUCUAUUUUCCUGGGAGGAAUUUCUGGAUUAACUGAACACACACACACACACACACACCCUUUUGAAGCAUCAACAGUAAUUCUGAGUUCUUAGGGACAAUGCAGAUUAAAUCCACAAUAAGAAAGACAACUAUGGCCAGGUGUGGUGGCUCACGCCUGUAAUCCCAGAACUUUGGGAGGCUGAGGCGGAUGGAUCACCUGAGGUCAGGAGUUAGAGACCAACCUGACCAACAUGGAGAAACCCCGUUUCUACUAAAAAUGCAAAAUUAGCCGGGCAUGGUGGCAGGCGCCUGUAAUCCCAAAUACUCGGGAGGCUGAGGCAGGAGAAUCACUUAAACCCGGGAGGCAGAGGUUGCAGUGAGCCAAGAUCGCGCCAUUGCACUCCAGCCUGGGCAAGAAGAGCAAAACUCCAUCUCAAAAAAAAAAAAAGAGUACUAUUGAUCCAGAGGUGACCAGACUAGCCUCACUGGAGAUAAUAGGUGACAUUAUUAUGCAAAGUGGUUUCAGUUCCCUUGUCUUGUUUUUGGAAUAGUAUAAGAGGCCUACAAUACGAAUAAAUAAGGCCCAUCACAAGCCUCACCAAAGGACAAAACUAAUCCACUUCUGAAGAAGGCUCUUUGUUGGGCCAGAUCAAAUCCUUGGACAGAACUGUACUCUUAAUCUCUGUAGUGAAAGUGGGGGGUAGUUUAAGAAUUUAUUAACCUUCUACCUUGAGCAAUCCCUCAGAAGUAAGAGGUGUCAGGCCUCUGAGCCGAAGCUCAGCCAUUGUAACCCCUGUGACCUGCACAUAUAUGUCCAGAUGGCCUGCAGGAGCCAAGAAGUCUGGGGCAGCUGAAAAACCACACAAGAAGUAAAACAGCCAGUUCCUGCCUUAACUGAUUAACCAACAUUACAACAUUCCACCAUUGUGACCUGUCCCUGUCCUACCUUAACUGAUCAAUCGACCUUGUGACAGUCUUCUUCUGGACAAUGGGUCUUAUCAUCUCCCCACCAUGUACCUUGUGACCCCCUCCUCUGCUAACAAUAGAUAACCACUUUUUACUGUAAUUUUCCAUUACCUACCCAACUCCUAUAAAGCAACCCCUUCCCCAUCUCCCUUCACUGACUCUGUUUUCAGACUCAGCCCACUUGCACUCAAGUGAAUAAACAGCCUUGUUGCUCACACAAA